UGCAUUGUCUCUGCAUGUUAAUAAGUAAAUGUAAUACAGGAUCUGGAGAGAGAGAAAGAAAAGACUUGAAGUGUUUUGUUUACAACUUUACAUUGGAGGGCUACAGAGUUCCAGUCUACGAGACCACUGAAGUAAAUGUAAUACAGGAUCCGGAGAGAGAGAAAGAAAGGACUUGAAGUGUUUUGUUUACAACUUUACAUUGGAGGGCUACAGAGUUCCAGUCUACGAGACCACUGAAGUAAAUGUAAUACAGGAUCCGGAGAGAGAGAAAGAAAAGACUUGAAGUGUUUUGUUUACAACUUUACAUUGGAGGGCUACAGAGUUCCAGUCUACGAGACCACUGAAGUAAAUGUAAUACAGGAUCCGGAGAGAGAGAAAGAAAAGACUUGAAGUGUUUUGUUUACAACUUUACAUUGGAGGGCUACAGAGUUCCAGUCUACGAGACCACUGAAGUAAAUGUAAUACAGGAUCCGGAGAGAGAGAAAGAAAAGACUUGAAGUGUUUUGUUUACAACUUUACAUUGGAGGGCUACAGAGUUCCAGUCUACGAGACCACUGGAAAGCUGAGGAAUAAGAGAUUUGAGAAGAAGACACCGUGAAGAGGAACCAACAGAUAUGGACAUUUCAGAGUAUAUUCGCAGGUCGAUUCUAGACAUCAUCUGUAUAAUCCCACAGGUCAUAUGUGCCGUUUCUGAAUAUUUUCAGGAUGUAAGGGAAGACACAAAAGUGUGCUGGGUCCUGUCUCUCACCUCGGUUAGCUCCAGUUCCGUGGGUCUCGGGGUCCUUCCGCUUCAACGCUGUCUCCCCCACGGAAUCAAGAGCUUGCUGUCCGGGAUAUUCCAACUGGCAGCAGGUGUAUCCAUCAUGAAUGCCAGUUCGAUCCACACAUACCAGUCAUACCAGAGUGGACAGGGGAUCAGUGACGUGUACUUUUAUGCAGCCUGGACUUCGUGCGGCCUGUCCUUCAUCAACAGUGUCUUAUACCUUCUAGAAUGGAAGAAUGCAGGACGAGAGUGAGAGAGAAGGGGGAAGAGAGGAGGA